rnacentral:rRNA from 1 species
AUGAAUAUUUUGGCCUGGAACUGUCGAGGACUGGGGUUGGACUCAACAGUUGGCGAACUGAGGGACCUGAUUCGGUCGUACAACCCAGCGGUGGUCUUUUUGAGUGAAACAAAAAAGAAGGCGGGUGCGAUGCAGAGACUUAUGUGGAGGUUAGGUUUUCGGAAUGGAGUGGCGGUGGACUGUGAGGGCCUAAGUGGUGGACUAGCACUAUGGUGGAGAGAUAACUUA